UGCUGGCCGAUGAUGAUGCUCAUACGAUAACCUGACUUAAUCCUGAAGGUUUAUCAGUCACUACCUCAACUGAGGCCUGCU